UAAAACUGGGAAGGAGACUUUUUCCUAGCCAAAGUGGUAUUGUCACUAAUAUUUGUCUAUGUACAACUGGUAAUUUGAGUGAUGACUAUGUAUUAUGUUUUUAUUAAUACUGUUCUUCAUCCACUUUGAAAUGAAGCUAAUUGUAUACAUACUAAUAUCUUUAAAGUGUAUGAAGUAUCUGAAGAAUCAACCACAGAAGAAAAAGUAUUUAUGACUCAUCCUCAAAAGACAAAACCCAAACUAGCAAAAGUGCCUGAAACACCCAAGAAAGUUGUUCCAGAGGAUAAAAUAUAUGUGACUAUUCCUAAAAAGAGAGAAACACCAGCAACUAAAGAGAUGGAAGUCUCCGAGGAAGGUACUCCAGAGGGGCCAGCUUCUGCUGCUAGAAGAAGAAAGAUAACAUCACCAAAAG